ensembl:lncRNA
CUCUUCUCAACCCUGCUUGAUGCAUGUAAUUGACAGCCUGUGGUUUUUCUGGGGCAGAGAUUUCUGGAUUGCUUCCUGCUCAUCCUCAGGGGACCAUCUGGAACUGACAGUCUGUCCUCCAGACUCAUAGCUUCCUCUUUCCAAUCAACCAGUCAAUCAUCAAGCAUUUGCGCACACCUUAUGUGCCCAACAGGCCUCCUUUGCUGUGGGAGAAGCACUCAGAGCUAGAGUGCCCUCCGCAUUCAACAGAAGCACAGUUAAGUGUGAGGCUCAGGUUAAAUUUCAGGAGCGUUUAUUCGGGGGAGGCUCUCCAGAAUUGCUGUGGUGUGCUUUCAAGUUCCCAGCCUAGCCGCACUCCAGAAUCACACCAUCCCCGGCCUAAUGAAUCAGCAUCUCCAAGAUUGGCAAAAGUGCUGCUAUCAAGGACAAGUCGAAUGGCUCCUGUGUGGCUGCUUCCCUGGCUCUUGAGCUAUGCAGUGUUAAUACAAGUGGGGAAGGCGCAACAGAAGACAGCUGUGUUUAACUUCACGUCAACUUUGUUAGCUUUUUUCUAAUUACAUUACCAAAUUCCAUUACACAAGGGUCAGGAAUUAACAUUUUUAACAUCAACGAUUUAUAUUAUUUUUAUGAUUUAAAUUAUUAAAAUGACUUAAGUUGUUCUUAGUCACUUGUUAUUAUUCUCAUUUGUGUUCAUUGCUAUGGGAUCAUUUUAGUAAUUUACAGUUGACCCCUUAAUACAGCUGUAUGAAUUAUUGAAUAUUCUUUACCUUUCUGCUACAGUAUUUUCUAGAGAAACUUCUGAUAGUGAAUACACCCUGAUAUUAGCGUUCACAGAAGAUAAAAAUAUUUGUGCUUUUUUUUUGUCUUUUCAGUUGUUUUAUUACAAAAUAUAGACUUUCUUUUGGUAGUUAUAUUCAACAAUUAGAAUGGUAGAAAGUAGAAAGGAAUAUUCCCUACUUCUCAAUUUCGGUUUUCAAAGAAAUUUUGUUUGAAGGUUUAUUAUUUUAGUCUUUCAAAAAUAUUUAUGGAUGGCUGAGCAUACAAAUAUUUAUAUUUGUUUUUUUAAAAAAGGAGCAUUAGUGUUUCAGGAAAAAAAAGCAACAUUUAUUUACCAGUAACAAUUUAAAAUUGUUAUUUACUUAACAUAUACUUAUGUAUCACUUGCUUUGUUCUGUGUUCAAGUUCCAUAUACUCACAUUGCUCUAAGUGUGUUAAAAGCCAUUAGCUAUUGGGGGGUGUGGUGGCUCACGCCUGUAAUCCCAGCACUUUGGGAGGCCGAGGCUGGUGGAUCACCAGGUCAGGAGUUCGAGACCAGCCUCACCAAUAUGGUGAAACCUGUCUCUACUAAUAGAAAAAUUAGUUGGGUGUGGUAGGGUGCACCAGUAAUCCUAGCUACUCAGGAGGCUGAGGCAGGACAAUUGCUUAAACCUGGAAGGUGGAGGUUGCACUCCAGCCUGGGCGACAGAGCAAGACUCCAUCUAAAAAAAGAAAAAAUUAUUAGUUAUUGUAAAACUCCUAUAAAACUAAGACACAGAGGUUUAGUCAUUUGCCUUAGGUAACACAGGAAGUGGUAGAGUCAGAAUUCAAAUCUAGACAGCCCAGCCUCUAAGACUUCUAUCUACCAGGCUCUUGAUUCCGACAACAUCCCUUAUCAACAAAAGAAAAACAAAAUUUAUCUUUGGAAUUUUUCAGACAUAAUAAAUAACAUUUUUGUAGUUGAAAUCUUUAUAAAUCCUCCAUUAAUGUGUGCAGUUUUCAGAGCUACCAUUUUCUCUUCCUCCUUCUAGGUUUGUCAGAUAAAAUAGAAGAUACCAGGCCAGGUGAGGUAGCUCAGACCUAUAAUCCCAGCACUUGGUAAGCAAAGGUGGGUGAAUCACUUGAAGUCAGGAGUUAGACCAGCCUGGCCAACAUGGUGAAAUCCCAUCUCUACUAAAAAUACAAAAAUUAGCCAGUCGUGGUGGUGUGCACCUGUAAUCCCAGCUACUCAGGAGGCUGUGGCACAAAAAACACUUGAACCUGAGAGGCAGAGGUUGCAGUGAGCCGAGAUUAUACCACUGCAAUCCAGCCUGGGUGACAGAGCAAUCUCUAUCUGAAAAGAAAAAAAUAAUACACACACACACACACACACACACACACACACACACACUUAUGUGUGCUUAUAUAUACUAAAUGUUUAUAUAUGUGUGUGUAUAUAUACUAAAUG